AUUGAACGCUGGCGGCAUGCUUUACACAUGCAAGUCGAACGGUAACAGGCCUUCGGGUGCUGACGAGUGGCGGACGGGUGAGUAAUGCUUCGGAACGUGCCCAGAGGUGGGGGAUAACGCAGCGAAAGCUGUGCUAAUACCGCAUGUGAUCUGAGGAUGAAAGCGGGGGACCAGGCAGCAAUGUUUGGCCUCGCGCCUUUGGAGCGGCCGAUGUCAGAUUAGGUAGUUGGUGGGGUAAAGGCCUACCAAGCCGACGAUCUGUAGCUGGUCUGAGAGGACGACCAGCCACACUGGGACUGAGACACGGCCCAGACUCCUACGGGAGGCAGCAGAGGGGAAUUUUGGACAAUGGGCGCAAGCCUGAUCCAGCAAUGCCGCGUGCGGGAAGAAGGCCUUCGGGUGGUAAACCGCUUUUGUACGGAACGAAAAGGCUCUGGCUAAUACCUGGGGCUGAUGACGGUACCGUAAGAAUAAGCACCGGCUAACUACGUG
rnacentral:rRNA from 1 species